rnacentral:rRNA from 1 species
GAUGAACGCUAGCGGCAGGCUUAAUACAUGCAAGUCGAACGGGAUUCGGGUAGCAAUACCUGAUGAGAGUGGCGCACGGGUGCGUAACGCGUAUGCAACCUACCUAUAACCGGGGCACAACCCCGCGAAAGAGUGGCUAAUAUCCCAUAACAUUGCGAAAUGGCAUCAUUUUGCAAUUAAAGUUCCGAUGGUUAUAGAUGGGCAUGCGUGACAUUAGCUAGUUGGUGAGGUAACGGCUCACCAAGGCGACGAUGUCUAGGGGUUCUGUGAGGAUUAACCCCAACACGGGUACUGAGACACGGACCAGACUCCUACGGGAGGCAGCAGUAAGGAAUAUUGGGCAAUGGACGCAAGUCUGACCCAGCCAUGCCGCGUGAAGGAUGAAGGCCCUAUGGGUUGUAAACUUCUUUUAUACGGGAAAAAACCUUCGGUCGUGAACCGGAGCUGAUGGUACCGUAAGAAUAAGCAUCGGCUAACUCCGUGCCAGCCGCCGCUGUAAAAC